UACGUAGGGUGCAAGCGUUAAUCGGAAUUACUGGGCGUAAAGCGUGCGCAGGCGGUUUUGUAAGUCUGUCGUGAAAUCCCCGGGCUCAACCUGGGAAUUGCGAUGGAGACUGCAAGGCUAGAAUCUGGCAGAGGGGGGGUAGAAUUCCACGUGUAGCAGUGAAAUGCGUAGAGAUGUGGAGGAACACCGAUGGCGAAGGCGGCUCUCUGGGACGGUACUGACGCUGAGACGGCGAAA
rnacentral:rRNA from 1 species